rnacentral:rRNA from 2 species
UCCCUGGUUGAUCCUGCCAGUAGUCAUAUGCUUGUCUCAAAGAUUAAGCCAUGCAUGUCUAAGUGCAAGCCAAAAUAAGGUGAAACCGCGAAUGGCUCAUUAAAUCAGUUAUGGUUCCUUAGAUCGUACCACAUGACUUGGAUAACUGUGGUAAUUCUAGAGCUAAUACAUGCUAAACUGAGUCCCGACCAGAAAUGGGAGGGAUGCUUUUAUUAGAUCAAAACCAAUCGGCGUGGCUUGUCUGCGUCCGUUUGCUUUGGUGACUCUGGAUAACUUUGUGCUGAUCGCACGGUCUCCGUACCGGCGACGCAUCUUUCAAAUGUCUGCCUUAUCAACUGUCGAUGGUA